GUCUUUUUGGGUUAUUUUUAAAGUCUGACCUGCCCACUGAAUAUUUUUAAAUGGCCGCAGUAUCCUAACUGUGCAAAGGUAGCAUAAUCAUUAGUCUUUUAAUUGAAGGCUGGUAUGAACGGUUGGACGAAGUAUAAGCUGUUUCAUAUAAAAUUAUAUUAGAACUUUAUAUUUUAGUUAAAAAGCUAAAAUUUUAUUAAAAGACGAGAAGACCCUAUAAAUCUUUAUAUUUAAUAUUAAUCAAAUUUUUUUGAUUUAUUUUAUUUUUUUAAUUUUAAAUAUUUUGUUGGGGUGAUAUUAAAAUUUAAUGAACUUUUAAUUAUUUAUUAAAUCAUUAAUUUAUGAAUAAUUGAUCCAUUAAUAAUGAUUAUAAGAUUAAGUUACUUUAGGGAUAACAGCGUAAUUUUUUUUGAGAGUUCAUAUCGACAAAAAAGUUUGCGACCUCGAUGUUGGAUUAAGAUAUAUUUUUAGGUGCAGCCGCUUAAACAUUAAGUCUGUUCGACUUUUAAUUUCUU
rnacentral:rRNA from 1 species